AACGCCGGCGGUGUGCCUAAUACAUGCAAGUCGAACGCGUUGGCCCAAUUGAUUGAUGGUGCUUGCACCUGAUUGAUUUUGGUCGCCAACGAGUGGCGGACGGGUGAGUAACACGUAGGUAACCUGCCCAGAAGCGGGGGACAACAUUUGGAAACAGAUGCUAAUACCGCAUAACAACGUUGUUCGCAUGAACAACGCUUAAAAGAUGGCUUCUCGCUAUCACUUCUGGAUGGACCUGCGGUGCAUUAGCUUGUUGGUGGGGUAACGGCCUACCAAGGCGAUGAUGCAUAGCCGAGUUGAGAGACUGAUCGGCCACAAUGGGACUGAGACACGGCCCAUACUCCUACGGGAGGCAGCAGUAGGGAAUCUUCCACAAUGGGCGCAAGCCUGAUGGAGCAACACCGCGUGAGUGAAGAAGGGUUUCGGCUCGUAAAGCUCUGUUGUUAAAGAAGAACACGUAUGAGAGUAACUGGUCAUACGUUGACGGUAUUUAACCAGAAAGUCACGGCUAACUA
rnacentral:rRNA from 2 species